rnacentral:rRNA from 1 species
UACACAUGCAGUCGACGAUGAUGGGAGCUUGCUCUGGAUUAGUGGCGAACGGGUGAGUAACACGUGAGUAACCUGCCCUUAACUCUGGGAUAAGCCUGGGAAACUGGGUCUAAUACCGGAUAUGACUCCUCAUCGCAUGGUGGGGGGUGGAAAGCUUUUUGUGGUUUUGGAUGGACUCGCGGCCUAUCAGCUUGUUGGUGAGGUAAUGGCUUACCAAGGCGACGACGGGUAGCCGGCCUGAGAGGGUGACCGGCCACACUGGGACUGAGACACGGCCCAGACUCCUACGGGAGGCAGCAGUGGGGAAUAUUGCACAAUGGGCGCAAGCCUGAUGC